rnacentral:rRNA from 1 species
UACGGAGGAUCCAAGCGUUAUCCGGAUUUAUUGGGUUUAAAGGGUGCGUAGGCGGAUGAUUAAGUCAGUGGUGAAAUCCUACAGCUUAACUGUAGAAUUGCCAUUGAUACUGGUCAUCUUGAGUACAGUUGAGGCGGGCGGAAUGUGUCAUGUAGCGGUGAAAUGCUUAGAUAUGACACAGAACACCGAUUGCGAAGGCAGCUCGCUAAACUGUAACUGACGCUGAGGCACGAAAGCGUGGGGAGCAAACAGG